rnacentral:rRNA from 1 species
GAUGAACGCUGGCGGCGUGCCUAAUACAUGCAAGUCGAGCGAACUUACUAGAAGCUUGCUUCUCUGAUGUUAGCGGCGGACGGGUGAGUAACACGUGGAUAACCUACCUCUAAGACUGGGAUAACUUCGGGAAACCGGAGCUAAUACCGGCUAAUAUUUUGAACCGCAUUGUUCAACAGUGAAAGACGGUCUUGCUGUCACUUAUAGAUGUAUCCGCGCUGCAUUAGCUAGUUGGUAAGGUAACGGCUUACCAAGGCAACGAUGCAUAGCCGACCUGAGAGGGGGAUCGGCAAAACGGGAACGGAAAACGGGCCCAGACUCCUACGGGAGGAAGAAGAAGGGAAUCUUCCGAAAUGGGCGAAAGCCUGACGGAGAAAGGCGGCGUGAGUGAUGAAGGUCUUCGGAUCGAAAAACUCUGUUAUUAGGGAAGAACAGAUGUGGAAGUAAAUGUGCACAUCUUGACGGUACCUAAUCAGAAAGCCACGGCUAACUACGUG